rnacentral:rRNA from 1 species
GACGAACGCUGGCGGCGUGCUUAACACAUGCAAGUCGAACGGAAAGACCCUGCUUUUGUGGGGUGCUCGAGUGGCGAACGGGUGAGUAACACGUGAGUAACCUGCCCUUGACUUUGGGAUAACUUCAGGAAACUGGGGCUAAUACCGGAUAGGAGCUCCUGCUGCAUGGUGGGGGUUGGAAAGUUUCGGCGGUUGGGGAUGGACUCGCGGCUUAUCAGCUUGUUGGUGGGGUAGUGGCUUACCAAGGCUUUGACGGGUAGCCGGCCUGAGAGAGUGACCGGCCACAUUGGGACUGAGAUACGGCCCAGACUCCUACGGGAGGCAGCAGUGGGGAAUAUUGCACAAUGGGCGGAAGCCUGAUGCAGCAACGCCGCGUGCGGGAUGACGGCCUUCGGGUUGUAAACCGCUUUCGCCUGUGACGAAGCGUGAGUGACGGUAAUGGGUAAAGAAGCACCGGCUAACUACGUG